rnacentral:rRNA from 1 species
GAACGGCAGCACAGAGGAGCUUGCUCCUUGGGUGGCGAGUGGCGGACGGGUGAGGAAUACAUCGGAAUCUACUCUGUCGUGGGGGAUAACGUAGGGAAACUUACGCUAAUACCGCAUACGACCUACGGGUGAAAGCAGGGGAUCUUCGGACCUUGCGCGAUUGAAUGAGCCGAUGUCGGAUUAGCUAGUUGGCGGGGUAAAGGCCCACCAAGGCGACGAUCCGUAGCUGGUCUGAGAGGAUGAUCAGCCACACUGGAACUGAGACACGGUCCAGACUCCUACGGGAGGCAGCAGUGGGGAAUAUUGGACAAUGGGCGCAAGCCUGAUCCAGCCAUACCGCGUGGGUGAAGAAGGCCUUCGGGUUGUAAAGCCCUUUUGUUGGGAAAGAAAUCCAGCUGGCUAAUACCUGGUGGGAUG